rnacentral:misc_RNA from 1 species
CUGCGGCGCCCCCACGCAUUGCUUCUCUGCGCUCCUGACAAGGCGCAUUUUCGAGAAGCCGCCAACCCGCAUCCGCUGACGCUCGCGCACGCGAACGUGCCAGUAUCUUCGCAGCACCUCGUCUGUGCCCCUACACAGCGAUCGACUCGCCGCUGGUGCGCUGUGCGCGCCUCUUGACGAUUGCACGCCCGAGCCUCUGUUACUCAUUCCGCCUCUCGCCCUGGCGCCUUGGCCAUCCUCUUUCGUUUUUCUCUGAAGCGCCCCCCCCCAUCUCUCCUGCUCACGACUGUAUCUACUCCGCAGUCUCAUGGCGUCCGCCGUCUCCACCUGUGCGUGCGCGCCGCAGCGUAGCAAUGCCGCCCUCAUACUGCUGUGCCUGACUGCUGCAUGGUGCGUGCUGUGCAUGACGACGCCGUGGGCGACGAUGGUCGUCGCACAGGGCUCAGCUUCCGCCGUGACGGGCAUCUGCAGUUAUGCUGUCUGGACAACCACGCUGCCACCAUCGGGGGACGCACACAUAGUGUACCCGCCGGGCGCCGUGGAGUACCAGCCCCAGAACCACACCAUCCAGCCGGUGAACUUCUUUCUCCACCACUGGUACGUUGCCAUCGCCCUCAUCCUGUGCGCCGUCUGCGGCUUCUACACCUCACUGGCGCUGUCGUUCAUCCACCAUUUUGACUUUUACGCUCAGCAUCAGGCGAUGAAGGUGGUGGGGGAGUCCUACGCCACGAAGGGCUACUUCAACCUCGACGGCGAGGACGCCCAUGGUGCGCCGCGGCCGACGGCAGCGCUUGCCGGGGCGCACGCGGCAAGGUCGCGUCGUCUCUCGCUUAGCUCUGUGCAAUCCUCCUCGUACAGCGAUGACAGCUACGAUGGCGAGAGUCUACCGUCGCCGUCGGAGGCUGACGACGGCAUCAUCGAGAUGAACCCUCUGCAGCGCUAAGAAGAGCAGCAACAAUGAGCGCGACGACGAACGCGGAAGACAAAGAAAGAAAAAAAAUUCGAAGAGAAGGACUGAGAGGAGAGCGCAGCAUGUGCGUGCACUUGGCGUGGCGCACAGGCGUUGGAGGGACGGGGGGAGUGCGCGUGGAAAGGGUGGGAGUGGGGGUGGUGCGAACGUGGGACGCCCUUCGCCCGCUGUUGACAGAGCGAGAAGGAGGUGGGCGAACCACGGGGGGAGGGGGGGGUCGAGCCAGCCCCGUCGUGGCGCGUGCCUGCGUAGAUCCUCAUCCUCUCCCUGUCUCCCUCUUCUGCUCAUUCUCGAAUCAUGCUCGCCGCGACUGGCCGAGCGACCAUUGCCACCGCCGCCGCCAUCUGACUCGGAGCCUUUUUUUUUUCACAUCCGCCACGUGCGCGCGUUGUGCGUUUGCGCGUACGCGUCCAGCUGUCGGACCCUCUCCCCACUCUUCUCGCUCAUUUUUUUUGUGCUGUCGUGUGUAUAUAUGCGGCCCCCUAAGCCUCCUCUCUGGGGUUCUCUUUGUUUUCUUCUGUUGUGUGUGUGGCCGUGUGGGGUCCCCGCCAUACCUUGUCUCCCGCUGGUGCAUAACCGUCAUGCAUGCGCCUACGUUUACUGUCCUCCGCCCACCAUCAUCAUCCCACUCCCUCUUUCUCCUCGUCUCUCUCUCCCUCUGCUUGCAUCUGGAACAUCUAUGUGCACAGCUAUCUAUCUAUAUCGAUGUAGAUGCGGAGAGGACGCUGCCGUUUCUACUUCGUGUAGUGGUUUGCCUCGCCUGUCGCCGUGCUCGGGGUCUCCUUCCUUCCGUUGUGGGGGUGGGUGAGGUCGGGUGGGGUGUCGGCGUGUGCACAUGUGUGUGUGUGUUGUUUGGUUGUUUUCGGUGGAACGGAAGCACCACUUGUGAAUACUUUUCUUUUUCGUGUGUGUGUAAGGACUCCUCUUACUGUGCUGGUGGCAGCAGCGGGCGCGCGUUCGCGUGCGGAGAGGGUGGGGGAGAGGGGCAGAUUUUAGUCGUCUGCCUGUCUCUGUCUGCUGGGUCGUGCAUGCAAACAGAUGUUAUGUGUGCAGGAUGUGUACCCCCUUCGCCGAGUUUGUGUGUUUCGGUGCAGCCGCUCUGCUGCCUUUCCACAUAUUUUUGUUUUUUUUUGCUUAUAUUGUGCUGUUACUGCGAUACUUUUCCGUUUGCGGGGCGAGGCGGAGGGGGAGAGAGGCUCUUCUCGCUAUAGAACGUGCCGCCCCCCCCCUCUCCCCCUUCACUCGCAUCCCGCCAUACAUACGCACACACGCGCGCGCAGACACACACGUCAGUCGGUCGUUGGCAGGUGUGUCGUGAAAGCGCUGAUCGUUGAUGAGUGCCGUCGCCUCGCUCUCCCUAUUUCAACGCCUCCUCGAGUGGUUUGGCGCCUACGCGCUUGCGUCACGCAGCACGAGGCGAAG